GCUGGGCGCAGUGGCUUACGCCUGUAAUCCCAGCACUUUGGGAGGCUGAGGUGGGCAGAUCACUUGAAGCCAGGGGUUUGAGGCCAGCCUGGCCAACGUGGCGAAACCCUGUCUCUACCAAAAAUACAAAAAAAUUUAGCCGGGCAUGGUGGUGCCCGCCUGUAGUUCUAGCUACUCGGGAGGCCGAGGCAGGAGAAUCACUUGAAACCAGGAGGCAGAGAUUGCAGUGAGCCGAGAUCGCGCCACUGCACUCCAGCCUGGGCGACAGAGCGAGACUCCAUCU
rnacentral:lncRNA from 10 species